AAAUCCGCGCGCAGCUCCGAUCCGUUAGGCGCCCCGACUGGCGGGGCAGCACUGGCGCAGUGGCUCCGCUCGGCCCGGUCCCUGUCCCGGGAGCGGGGCCGGCCUGGGAGCGGAAACUCAAGAACAGGAAUGGAAGUCCAUCCUUCCAAUAUCCUCCCAUGCCCUCAUGGCAGUCAGGUGACCUAAAUUGACGAGCCUUUUCUCUGCCCCAGGCCGGCCUAUGCGCCCCAAACUGCUCCCUUAGCUCUUCCUCCUUUGCAUACCCUCUCUUAGCCUUGGAUAACUUCUCAGUUUCCGUUCUUGCUGAAGGCGCCAGGCAUCCUGUCUCCAGAGGAAACCCCUUCAAGCCUUUAACCCUGAUGCCGUGGGCUCUAGAAUUGCCUGGACUGCAAACAGUGCAGAAACCACCCUGCAGGACUGUCCAUUUCAGGAGUCAGCACAGUGUUACCCAGUUCCUAGCUUGAGCACCCUGGGGCUACAAGGAAAGUAUUAGAUCCAGUCCCCUUCCCCCGGAAGCUUGCUAUCUAGUUGCAGAGAAGGGGUGGCGGGUGUUGUGCUGGACUCCCAUCAAGAAACAGGCGGCACAGGAUGUGACUAAGUGUAAGUAAGAUGUGAAUAACUGACAGUAAGUGCCCAGGGUUUUAACGGAGUUUAAAGUCAUCGUCAGGGGAAGCUGGAGGUCUCAUAUGUUGGGACUCUCCAAUUCACAACAAAACGAAGAGGUGGCCUCCAGCUUCUUCCAUUCCGGCUGUUUCCAUCUGAAUUAUACCUUGCAUAGGUGGAAGCUCUUUGGCAGCUCACCAAAACCUAGUUUUAUUUGAAUGGUACCUUUGGCCUGUCAGUCACCUAGUCACUCAACAAAUAUUUAUUACAUUUCAUGUCCUGGUCUGGAGCUAAGCUGGGAAUAGACAAUACAAUGACUAUGUCUCUGUGUUUGGCAAGGGAAAAAGAAGGCAAAAGAAAAACUGCUCGGGGAGAAAGAACAACUGAGAUAUGUCUGGCAAGUUGAUUCAAGAAACAGUUGCCCGACCUCAAAACCUGGAUAAGUCUUCACCAAACUUGGUACAAAGACAAGUUCUUGCUAAAGGAGGAUACAAUUGUCCUUUGUGCUGGAGAGUGAUCUCAUGGUGCUACGUGUGGCCCUGUUCUGGUGAAGAGUGGCAGGCGUCACCCUUUCUGAGUUGAUCCUCGGCAGAAAGAGACCGUGAAGAAAGGAAGAGCAAUGUUUCCAGGAGCGGUGCUGGUGAUGCUGACAGCUUCUAAAAGGAGCAGUGACGUUCACUGUUGUCACAAGUCAAGGAGCUGAGGAGAGACAAGGACCUAGAAGGACAAGGGCACAGCAGCUUCUUCCUGCAACAGCACACAGCCACCGUGCAGUGAAGCCUCUGGUUCUACAGGCCAGUGAGUGUGAGAGAACGACCGUGUGGAGUUGGUAUGCUAUGUAGCAGCAGGCCUUGCCGACGGGCCCCACAAGUCAAAGCAACACAGAAAGCCACACAGGCAUGGGAGGUCUCAAUGACACUCUCCCAGGACCUCCAGCUGUCUUACUACCUCCUGACUAGCAGCUGGCAGUCCUGAACAGACACCAAGGAUGUCACUGUACAGGUACACCUGGGAGGCCUCUGUGAGGAAGCCAGACCUCAAGGAGGUUAGGCUGAGGUGCUCCUGAGCUCACAGCACGCAAGAGCCCAGGUACCUCUGGGUCUUCUCUGUUUUCCCAGCUGUGAGAACCCAUCUGCACCCAGGAGUGCACCACAUCCAAAAGUCAAAGCCGCUGGCGAAUGGGACGGAAUGAGCAACUGGGGCCACAGCAUUAUCUCUUCUUUCUUCAAGUCAGAAGGAUUUCCAGGCUCAUGACUAGAGGAAGGAAGGUGCUACAAUCCUCUUCCCCCUCUAAGAAGUGCUGGCAUAAGCAGUGUCCCCAAAGGCCAAGAGCAGGGGCCUGGCCUGGAGGCAGGGACAAGAGGACAUCAGCUAAGAAAAUAGCUUCUGGGGUCUCAGCAAUUACUCAAGGAGGCACUUCAGUCCAGAAGGCUUGCCUACCUCACAACUACUUUGCAGGACAGACCAGUGAGUCAAGGGGCCUCCCUAGGACUGGAGAUAACACCUGUGAAUGGUACUGCACACAGCACGGUGCUCCCUCCCCACCCCCAAAGGGUGAGGCACAGGCCAGAUCCAAACACCUGUUUUCAUAUAUUUCCUUUCAUUAAUGCUAUUUCCUUUAUUAAGUGGGGAAGAAAAGUACAGUGACUGAUAUCUGACUUAAGCAGAAAACAGCAGUAAAUGACCUUGCGGGUGUGACUUUUCAAGAAGAAAAAGGGGAGGUCUGUGUCAGAAUGGGCUGGGAUGCAGUGGUAUGUUUUGAUGAGGCAUUAAGGUAGCCUUUGAUUGAUGG
ensembl:processed_transcript